rnacentral:rRNA from 1 species
AGUGAACGCUAGCGGUGCGCCUAACACAUGCAAGUCGAGUGUGCUCGCAAGAGUAACACGGCAGACGGCUGCGUAACACGUGGGUGAUCUGCCCUGCACUUCGGGAUAAGCCUGGGAAACUGGGUCUAAUACCGGAUAGGACUACUGCCUGCAUGGGUGGUGGUGGAAAGCUUUUGCGGUGUGGGAUGGGCCCGCGGCCUAUCAGCUUGUUGGUGGGGUGAUGGCCUACCAAGGCGACGACGGGUAGCCGGCCUGAGAGGGUGACCGGCCACACUGGGACUGAGAUACGGCCCAGACUCCUACGGGAGGCAGCAGUGGGGAAUAUUGCACAAUGGGCGCAAGCCUGAUGCAGCGACGCCGCGUGAGGGAUGACGGCCUUCGGGUUGUAAACCUCUUUCAGCACCGACGAAGCGCAAGUGACGGUAGGUGCAGAAGAAGGACCGGCCAACUACGUGCCAGCCGCCGCCGUAA